UUUUUUUUUUGAGCAAAACCAUCAGACCUGUGAAGGCUCAUGAUUUCCUUCCUGUCCCAAGACUCUACACCAGCUUCAAGAUGUGUAAAAAAUUCUCUUGAGGUUUGUCAUCCAUUACAUUGGAAGGAAGUCAGCUGACUGAGAGUGAGUGAGAAUAAAACCUCAGAGACACAGAGUUGGACCUACAAUGUGGGCAGUAAAUGUCAUGCUAGUAGAGUUUUCUGUUGACUGAAGAGUGUUAAGCACUUCAACUUAGCAGUGGAAAGCAGCACCGUUCACUCCAUCAGCAGCACAGUUCACAGUUCACAGCAGCACAGUGAGCAUGGAUGGGGAUUGAGUUCUUUGGCAAGACCUUUGAAGAUUGCACAACAUGAUAGAAGAAAGUGAAAAGUCUUAAUGAGAAAACCUGUUUUGCAUUCUGUUGUUGCAAUGAAGAUAAAGAAGGUGUCUAUGAGAGGUCAAGGAAGAGAGGAAUCAAUCUCACCAGACUAAAGAAAACAAAAAGAUAAUUCAAAAUUCUCUGGGAGCAGCUUGUUCACACAUUUGACUCCUCGGUAAGUCGCAGUCAUGUGCAACAGGGCUCUUCUGCAGUUGUGAAAAAGUAGCACACCUGUGAUCAUGAUCAUGAUCAACCUUGCUUUCUUCAGAAUUGCCACUGGUUACAGAUUCCAUUGUUAGCCCAUCAGUGUUAAAAACAACCUCAGCCUUAGCAUCAUUUGGCUAAAUAUCUUCACUGGCCUUCUAGAGUUCCUAAAAUAGAAUAAAGAGCAUUUUAUUGCAA